rnacentral:lncRNA from 1 species
CAGGAAAUCAGCAGAGCAGGUCUUGCACAGAGUCAAGAGCAAAUGCCUUUCAUAGGCUUUCCCCUGAGAAAAGCAUGCCCCUGGGACUAACUGUUCGUUCAGGGCAGCCUGGGUAAUUGUCUCUCCAGUUCAGCAGCCUAGGUACUCAGAGGCGCUGCAGCCAUGGUCCAAUGGAGCCCUGUUACUGUUCAAACUGGAGGCAGGCUUUGGGUCCAGGAGACGCUGGUUUUUGCAAGCACACAGAAUACAAGAGUUAAAAGAUCAUGGAGCCUUCUACACAGAUUGAAGGCUCUUCCCUAUGUCUGCCUUCUGAUUGCCAUGCUUUUCUUCAUCUAUGCCAUCAUCGGGAUGCAGAUCUCUGAUUCCAAGUGUCCUCGAGGUUCCCAACCGAUGCUUCUUCCCAGUUCUCCGUUUAAGCACAACAGACUCAAAUUCGGAAACCUGGCCAGCCACUUUCCAGCGACGAUUGGCAGCUGAUUAGGAGAAUCAAUGAGCUGGCGAUUUGGACUCUGAAGAGCACAGGAAACUGCUCUUUAUAAGCUGAAUUAAAAUGACUAUUAAAACGUAUGUUGCACAUGGUGAGUACAAGCUUGAGCUAUUAAAUAAUAGACUGGACUUCCAGGAAACGUCCUUCUAGGAUAGUAAUUCAUUUGUGAACUGGCAAAAAGAAAUGUUUGUAAGAAAUCCACAAUAAUGGGAG